rnacentral:tRNA from 1 species
UGACUAGUUGUCUUGUGGUUGGACUUGUGGACUCAGAAUCUAAAGGUUCUAGGUUCAAACUCCUAGUAGGUCGA